rnacentral:rRNA from 1 species
CAAUAGCGUAUAUUAAAGUUGUUGCAGUUAGAACGCUCGUAGUCGGAUUUCGGGGCGGGCCGACCGGUCUGCCGAUGGGUACGCACUGGUCGGCGCGUCCUUCCUUCCGGAGACCGUGCCUACUCUUAACUGAGCGGGGGCGGGAGACGGAUCGUUUACUUUGAAAAAAUCAGAGUGUUUCAAGCAGGCAGCUCGCUCUUGCAUGGAUUAGCAUGGGAUAAUGAAAUAGGACUUUGGUGCUAUUUUGUUGGCUUCGAACACCGAAGUAAUGAUUAACAGGGACAGUCAGGGGCACUCGUAUUCCGCCGAGAGAGGUGAAAUUCUCAGACCAGCGGAAGACGAACUACUGCGAAAGCAUUUGCCAGGGAUGUUUUCACUGA